ACUAUCCGCCUGGGAACUACGAGCAACAGCUUAAAACCCAAAGGACUUGGCGGUGCUUUAGACCCACCUAGAGGAGCCUGUUCUGAAACCGAUAACCCCCGUUCAACCUCACCUUUUCUUGUUCUCCCCGCCUAUAUACCGCCGUCGUCAGCUUACCCUAUGAAGGCCCCCUAGUAAGCACAAUUGGUACAACCCAAAACGUCAGGUCGAGGUGUAGCGUAUGGAAAGGGAAAAAAUGGGCUACAUUCCUUAAUUACAAGGAAUUACGAAAAAUAUUACUGAAACGUGUAUCUAGAAGGAGGAUUUAGCAGUAAGCAGAAAAUAGAGCGUUCCGCUG
rnacentral:rRNA from 1 species